UCUCCCGCACUUUUCUGCUCUGGGUUGAGAAAAAGAGAAAAAAACAAAAUGCGCAUGCGCAGUUGCACAUCGAGCGAGUUGCAUCAUCGCCACAUGUGCAGUUGCGCGACACACCUCAUCUCGACGGGUGACGUCUUCAAAUCUGGGGUAGCAGCUC